UAUUAUCGAUAUAUAGUCGGUCAAUCUACUCAACAUACUAUAACCAUUAUGAGCGGUUAUCGAUUAUGUUUACGGUAAUUAGUAAAAAUUAACGACUCACUAACUCCACAAUUAUGGUCCGAUAAUUUAGCGCCAUAAAAAAUGAGACCACAUCUCGAUAGUUACAUCAGAAUCAUUUGUAAAAAGAGGAUAAGUGAAUAGCACGGGGAAGAUACUUUUGUGCCAGAGCACUGCUACUCUCGACAUUCAAAUUUACUGUUCACCAAUUUCUUCUCUGACUUAAGCAUUGGAGGUCCCCGCCGAACAUAACUCCGAUUUAUGAAGACGCUGUUUUGCAGGUAUUCAUCAUCGACGAUAGGCGAUAAAGAAUUUUUCGUAACAGAUUGGCGCAUCAGGAAGGGGGA
rnacentral:lncRNA from 1 species